GUAGCAGAGCAGCUCCCUCGCUGCGAUC
rnacentral:piRNA from 5 species